rnacentral:rRNA from 1 species
UACGGAGGGAGCUAGCGUUGUUCGGAAUUACUGGGCGUAAAGCGCACGUAGGCGGCUUUGUAAGUUAGAGGUGAAAGCCCGGGGCUCAACCCCGGAAUUGCCUUUAAGACUGCAUCGCUUGAAUCCAGGAGAGGUGAGUGGAAUUCCGAGUGUAGAGGUGAAAUUCGUAGAUAUUCGGAAGAACACCAGUGGCGAAGGCGGCUCACUGGACUGGGUAUUGACGCUGAGGUGCGAAAGCGUGGGGAGCAAACAGGG